rnacentral:lncRNA from 1 species
AUAACACAGAAGGAAGCUGUAGUUCCUGGAAAGCCCCACAAGACAGUGACUGUGGGUUAGGGUGUACCCCUAGCGCAAGACCAUCUCCUCCCCAGCUCAGCACCAGCAAGGGAGCUGAAGCAUUUAGAAUGGUGCAAUGAUAAACCACCAGAUGACAUCCAGAUUCUCCUAGAUUUACCUUACGCCCCUAUCUACCCAACUCGAUGCUCUUUCUCUCUCAAAGAACAGAAAGAAGAAGAAGAAGAAAAAAAACCCAGAUAACCAAAGCAAACAUACAAACAAAGCAGAUCUAAUUUUAGCACUAUGAUGAAUGGCCCAGGAAUGAAUUCCACUGCCCUCCACAAAAAGGAAGAUACAUCAGACCUGCCCAGGUGUGUGUCAUUUCCUUGUCUUGGGAGCUCUCAGCUUUCAAAUGGCAGCCUGGAUUUUUCUGGAUGGAAGCUCCAUUGUGUCUGUGUUUUGGCUUGGCACCAUCGGAAGCACUUUCAAUAAGCAGGGAGUCGCUUAACUCUCACCGCAUGCCUCCGGCAAGGAAGGUCUAUCCUACGUCUGUGGAUGGAGCGUGGUGGUGGCUAGGGAUCUGCAACUGCCCAAAGUCUCAAGGCCGAUAUGGCAGCACUAGGCGUUGUAUGAACCCAGACGCUCUGAAUCAGAGUUCCAUCAAGACCAUGCCUCCUCUGCCUUAGCAGAUCAUAGCCUGACCGCAAGAAAGGCUAGAUUCUAUGUCAAGAAAGUCUACUUUAAAAGGCUGGCAAGCAUGUGGGACAUUUUGGGAAAUGUUUCUAUUAAAGAAAAAUACUUUUUUUUUUUCUUUUCUUAACAAGUGUUGGUGCCUCUAAGGGAAUAAAACGGGUUAUCA